UGGGGAAUAUUGCACAAUGGGCGCAAGCCUGAUGCAGCCAUGCCGCGUGUAUGAAGAAGGCCUUCGGGUUGUAAAGUACUUUCAGCGGGGAGGAAGGGAGUAAAGUUAAUACCUUUGCUCAUUGACGUUACCCGCAGAAGAAGCACCGGCUAACUCCGUGCCAGCAGCCGCGGUAAUACGGAGGGUGCAAGCGUUAAUCGGAAUUACUGGGCGUAAAGCGCACGCAGGCGGUUUGUUAAGUCAGAUGUGAAAUCCCCGGGCUCAACCUGGGAACUGCAGCUGAUACUGGCAAGCUUGAGUCUCGUAGAGGGGGGUAGAAUUCCAGGUGUAGCGGUGAAAUGCGUAGAGAUGUGGAGGAAUACCGGUGGCGAAGGCGGCCCCCUGGACGAAGACUGACGCUCAGGUGCGAAAGCGUGGGGAGCAAACAGG
rnacentral:rRNA from 1 species